rnacentral:lncRNA from 1 species
UUACAAAUCUGUUCCUCCUUUGAUUCUUCUCUCUUAAUUUUCUCCAUAAUUCGAGGGCCGUUAGUGGCUUAUUCUCGAACAUGAUUUUCUCCGUAAUUCGAGGGUCAUACGUUAGUGGCUUAUUCUCAAACAUAUGAUGAUCUCUUUAUGAAUAUCCCAUGACUUUGUGGGAUAUUGGAGAUCCCGAUCUUUUUACGAAUACCCAUCCGCUUAUGGGAUGUUCAAGAUCCCUGUUUCAGGGAACAUGUUACCCUUUAAAUAGGCAAGAUUUAGGGUAAAGUAGCCUUCUAGAACUCUAACAGAAUUUGAAUUCUUAUUGAAGAGUCCACAAAUUUUAGAUGUCUACAAAUGCCCCCUACUUCAAGGCUUGUCGAAUAAAACUCUAACAGAAUUUGAAUUCUUAUUGAAGAGUCCACAAAUUUUAGAUGUCUACAAAUGCUCCCUACUUCAAGGCUUGUCGAAGUGUAUAUUCAUGGAAAAUAAACUUCAACCACAAAUAAAAAUAUGAAGAAACAACAGUUUUAUUCAUAAACAACGAGGGUACAAAUAUGUUAUUCUUCUCUCUUGAUUUUCUCCGUAAUUCGAGGGCCGUUAGUUGCUUAUUCUCGAACAUAGGAUGAUCUCUUUAUGAAUAUCCCAUGAUUUUGUGGGAUAUUGGAGAUCCCGAUCUUUUUACGAAUAUCCAUCAGCUUAUGGGAUAUUCAAGAUGCCUGUUUCAGGGAACAUGUUACCCUUUAAAUAGGCGAGAAUUAGAGUAAAUAGCCUUCUAGAACUAUAACAAAAUUUGGAUUCUUAUUGAAGAGUCCACAAAUUUUAGAUGUCUACAAAUGCCCCCUACUUCAAGGUUUGUCAAAGUGUAGAUUUGAUGACGAGUCUUGAAGUACCAAUAGAGCUUUCAUCUUUAUGCGGUGGCUACAGAUUUACAGAUCUGAUUUAUGAGAGAAGAGAUGAAGGGCAGAUUUGGUUCCACUGGGCGUGCCAAUUUGUUCGCAACAAAUUUUCAUUCAUGGAAAAUAAAUUUUAACCAUAAAUAAAAAUAUGAAGAAACAAGAUUUUUUUAUUGAUAAACGAUUGUGGUUACAAAUCUGUUCCUCCCUUAUUCUUCUCUCUUGAUUUUCUCCGUAAUUUGAGGGCCGUUAGUGGCUUAUUCUCGAACAUAAAAUUUGAUAUGAAUUUUUCCAUAAUUCGAGGGUCAUUAAUGACGUAUUUCUCGAACGUAAGAGUAUUUGGAUUUGAUCUCCAUAAAAGGAGGUUUUGUGGAUCUUGAUGUAUUUGAUUAUCAAGAAGAAAGAGUUUUGAUCUAUAAAUAUCCCAUGAAUUUAUUGAAACUUUGAAGAUCGUUGAUGAAUAUCCCGUGAAUUUGUGGGAUACUGAAGAUGUCUUUUAAAGGAUAUUUGCACUCUUUAUAUAAGCA